UACGGAAGGCAGCAGUGGGGAAUAUUGCACAAUGGGCGCAAGCCUGAUGCAGCCAUGCCGCGUGUAUGAAAAAGGCCUUCGGGUUGUAAAGUACUUUCAGUCGUGAGGAAGGUGUUAAGGUUAAUAACCUUAGCAAUUGACGUUAGCGACAGAAGAAGCACCGGCUAACUCCGUGCCAGCAGCCGCGGUAAUACGGAGGGUGCGAGCGUUAAUCGGAAUUACUGGGCGUAAAGGGCACGCAGGCGGUUAAUUAAGUUGGAUGUGAAAUCCCCGGGCUUAACCUGGGAAUGGCAUUCAAGACUGGUUAGCUAGAGUCUUGUAGAGGGGGUAGAAUUCCAUGUGUAGCGGUGAAAUGCGUGAGAUGUGGAGGAAUACCGGUGGCGAAGGCGGCCCCUGGACAAAGGACUGACGCUCAUGUGCGAAAGCGUGGGGAGCGAAAC
rnacentral:rRNA from 1 species